UACGGAGGGUGCGAGCGUUGUCCGGAAUCACUGGGCGUAAAGGGCGCGUAGGCGGCUCAUGAAGGCUGUGGUGAAAGUCCGGGGCUCAACCUCGGAUCGGCCGUGGCGACUCGUGGGCUGGAGCACUGUAGAGGCGGGUGGAAUUCCGGGUGUAGCGGUGGAAUGCGUAGAGAUCCGGCGGAACACCGGUGGUGAAGACGGUCUCCUGGGCCGAGGCCGACGCUGAGGCGCGAGAGCGUGGGGAGCGAACCGG
rnacentral:rRNA from 1 species